rnacentral:rRNA from 1 species
UACGUAGGGACCAAGCGUUGUUCGGAUUUACUGGGCGUAAAGGGCGCGUAGGCGGCAUGACAAGUCACUUGUGAAAUCUCUGGGCUUAACCCAGAACGGCCAAGUGAUACUGUCGCGCUAGAGUGCGGAAGGGGCAAUCGGAAUUCUCGGUGUAGCGGUGAAAUGCGUAGAUAUCAAGAGGAACACCUGAGGUGAAGACGGGUUGCUGGGCUGACACUGACGCUGAGGCGCGAAAGCCAGGGGAGCAAACGGG